AUUUAAGUAGCUUAUAUAGAGCAUGAUAUUGAAGCUGUCAGGGAAAUAAUUUUUAUUCUUAAAUA
rnacentral:tRNA from 1 species